rnacentral:rRNA from 1 species
AGUGAACGCUGGCGGUAGGCCUAACACAUGCAAGUCGAACGGCAGCACAGUAAGAGCUUGCUCUUACGGGUGGCGAGUGGCGGACGGGUGAGGAAUACAUCGGAAUCUACUUUUUCGUGGGGGAUAACGUAGGGAAACUUACGCUAAUACCGCAUACGACCUACGGGUGAAAGCAGGGGAUCUUCGGACCUUGCGCGAUUGAAUGAGCCGAUGUCGGAUUAGCUAGUUGGCGGGGUAAAGGCCCACCAAGGCGACGAUCCGUAGCUGGUCUGAGAGGAUGAUCAGCCACCCUGGAACAGAGACACGGUCCAGACUCCUACGGGAGGCAGCAGUGGGGAAUAUUGGACAAUGGGCGCAAGCCUGAUCCAGCCAUACCGCGUGGGUGAAGAAGGACUUCGGGUUGUAAAGCCCUUUUGUUGGGAAAGAAAAGCAGCAGGUUAAUACCCCGCUGUUCUGACGGUACCCAAAGAAUAAGCACCGGCUAACUUCGUG